CACGCUGCGACCCGAGGAGGCGGCCGGGCGGCAGCGGGCCGGGGCGGCCCCGGGGCUCCGAGCGCCGCCUCAGCUUCUGCGACUCCCCUUGUCCCCCCUUGGAAUCGUGCUGAGGGAUCUGGAGACGUCCUAGAGAGGUCUGGGGGCAUCCAGGGGGUUCUGGACUCAUGCAGAAGUGUCUGGAGAUGUCCAAGGAGGAUCCAGGGAGUCCCCAGGCCUGCCUGCAGCCGGACCCGGUGACACCGGAGCCCUCCCUCUGGCGCUGUCACCAUCCUCUGUCCCGAGGACGGGAGGUGAACUCUGUGCCACCAGCAGAGGGGACCACGGGUGACAUCAGUGUGGAACAGCCGUGACGCGGCGGCGUUGUCAUUGGGUGUCACCGUCACGCAGAGGGGACAAAAGGACCCCCCUGGGGGCAUUGCGUCGAAGUUGGGGACACCGUGAGCAGCUUGAGGACUUCCCAGGGGAAGUGGGGGCACCGCGUCACCGUGUCACACCCCAAAGUUGGGGACGCCCCCACAGUGUCACACCCCAAAGUUGGGGGCACCCCUGUAGUUUCACACCCCGAAGUUGGAAAAACCCCCACAGUGUCACACCCCAAAGUUGGGGACACCUCUGUGUCACCCCAAUGGUGUCCGACCCAAAGCUGGGGACACUCCACAGUGUCACACCCCAAAGUUGGGGACGCCCCGACAGUGUCACAUCUCAAAUUUGGGACAGCUCUGUGUCCCCCCAAUGGUGUCAGACCCCAAAGUUGGGGACGCCCCCACAGUGUCACAGCCCAAAGUUGGGGUCUGUCCCAGAGGUGGGAGUGCCCCCACAUCCCCACCAUGGCGUCACAUCCCAAAGUUGGGGACCCCUCUGGGGACCCAUUCAGUGCGUCCCCCAUUGCAGACCGCACUGUUCCCAUGGGGUGGGGGCGGGGAGCACCCUUUAUUUUUGGGAUUAAAGUUUAUUUCGUGAUAAAGGG
rnacentral:lncRNA from 1 species